rnacentral:rRNA from 1 species
GACGAACGCUGGCGGCGUGCUUAACACAUGCAAGUCGAACGGAAAGGCCCUGCUUUUGUGGGGUGCUCGAGUGGCGAACGGGUGAGUAACACGUGAGUAACCUGCCCUUGACUUUGGGAUAACUUCAGGAAACUGGGGCUAAUACCGGAUAGGAGCUCCUGCUGCAUGGUGGGGGUUGGAAAGUUUCGGCGGUUGGGGAUGGACUCGCGGCUUAUCAGCUUGUUGGUGGGGUAGUGGCUUACCAAGGCUUUGACGGGUAGCCGGCCUGAGAGGGUGACCGGCCACCAUGGGACUGAGAUACGGCGCAGACUCCUACGGGAGGCAGCAGUGGGGAAUAUUGCACAAUGGGCGGAAGCCUGAUGCAGCAACGCCGCGUGCGGGAUGACGGCCUUCGGGUUGUAAACCGCUUUCGCCUGUGACGAAGCGUGAGUGACGGUAAUGGGUAAAGAAGCACCGGCUAACUACGUG